UAAGGAAUAUUGGUCAGUGGAGGAAACUCUGAACUAGCCAUCCCGCGUGAAGGAUGAAGGGGCUAUGCCUUGUAAACUUCUUUUGUCUGGGACGAAAAAGCCCCGUUUACGGGGAACUGACGGUACCAGAAGAAUAAGCACCGGCUAACUCCGUGCCAGCAGCCGCGGUAAUACGGAGGGUGCAAGCGUUAUCCGGAAUCACUGGGUUUAACAGGGUGCGUAGGCGGCUUAGUAAGUCAGUGGUGAAAGACUGUGGCUUAACCAUGGAAUGGCCAUUGAUACUGCAGAGCUUGAAUGAGGUUGAGGUUAGCGGAAUGUGACAUGUAGCGGUGAAAUGCUUAGAUAUGUCAUGGAACACCAAUUGCGAAGGCAGCUAACUGGACCUAAAUUGACGCUGAGGCACGAAAGCGUGGGUAGCGAACAGGAUUAGAUACCCUGGUAGUCCACGCCCUAAACGAUGCUUACUCGUUGUUUGACGUGCCGCAAGGCUGUUGAGUGACUAAGCGAAAGCGAUAAGUAAGCCACCUGGGGAGUACGACCGCAAGGUUGA
rnacentral:rRNA from 1 species